AAGUACUUUGUUCUCGCUUCCUGACCUCUGCAACAUGGCGAUCAUCCUCCUGGCUCUCAUGGCGAUGGCAGCAGCAGCAACAGCAUCGCCAGAACCACAAUUUUUCCAGGCCCAACCGUCAUACGUCACGGUGACCGAGUAUGUCCCACGAUAUGCCACAGUCACCGUGACAGUCAGCAGUUACAUCACCAGGACGCGAUGUCAGCAGUAUGUUACAGUUACUGAAUCUUGUCGAGGUUAAGGCGGGAAGUAGACACCAGUUUGCAAUGCUUCAGUUGCUGUUGCACCCUCCCCGGUUUACAAUGUACCUCCAAUAUGUUGUGUUCUUUGCCUUUUUCUAUUAAAUGUCCUUAAGGCUCAUAA